AUUUCUACUCCUAUUUUCAUCUCCAGAUCAUAUUUUGGCCUCGAGUAUAUUGGGCAUUCUACCCUAGUACAAUAGA